GGGACACCGAGGCCUGGGCCGGGCCCUGUCCCCAGCAGCAGCACCUCCUCACAGAGCACCCGACACUGUGGUCACCUCGCGUGUAAACCUCUCCAGGCUCCAUUGCUCCCAGGGUGAGGCCAGGCUCCCCAGCCGUGGCCCUGCCCGGUGUCCAGGUGACCUGGGACAAGGUGGCUUUGCACACGCUGCUCUGUCUCUGUCCCCUGCACCCUUCCCUCCUCCCCCCGCCUCCGUUUCUACCUGGAGCAGGUGGGCUCUGCUCCUCCCCUUCACCUGGGUGCAGGUGGAUCCUUCAAACCUCACCUCCCAGCUCCCUGGAUGCCCAGAGGGGACCGAGGGACAAGCCCCCACACCUGUCUGUCUGUCUCUCUCCUCCCUCCCUCCUUCCCCACCUCAGGCAGCGUCUGCUUGGUGAAUCCUCAUGUCUGUGGUCCCAGCUUAGGAGCCGGCUCCUCUUCCUCUGUCCAGCCCACCCAGGGCGGCAGCAGCUUUGUGUCAUUCUUUCACCUUUUCAUCCUAGGCACUUGAAUCCAGGACCUUUGCACUGAGUUACAUCUACAGCCCUUUUUUAUUUGGAGACAGGGUCUCAUGAGUCACUAAGUUGCCCAGGCUGGGCUUGAGUCAGUGAUCCUCCUGCCUCAGCCUCCCAGAGUGCUGGGAUCACAGGUGUGCACCACCAUGCCAGCUUCCCACCCUCUUUUUUUUUUUUUUUGUACCGCGGAUCGAACUCAGGACCUUAUGCUUGUAAGGCAGGUGGUGGAACCACUGAGCUAAAUCCCUGGCCCAUUCCCACCCUUCUUAACUUUGAUUUGGCCCCACUUCCCAUUUUCUCCUUUUGCGCGUUGUCACUUCCCCCCCAGUCCUCUGGCUCACCCCCUUCCACUUCAGCCCAGUCCCUGUCCAGCCUUGCAGCCACUGAUCCCACAGGGGCUUCUGGCCCGAGGCUGACUCAGGACCCAGGGGACAGGCCGGGUGUUUGUUCCCCUGCAUACUAACUGCUGCUUGUGCUUAUGCAUUCAUGAGUGUGGUCACCUGCUCCACCCACCUCCCCACACCUGCAAGUCCCUGAGGGUGGGGGCCCAGCCUUCAUUGGGUGCUGGCACCUGGGAGGGGACCUCAGCUGAUGCCAGCCAGGGAGUAGGAGCACGGGGAGGACCUUGCUCCAGGCCUCUCUUCCCUUCUCCCUGAGGUGACUGAGUACACUGCUCAGAGAAGCUCCCCAUUCAUUCAUUGCACUGAGAUUCUUCAGCGUCUGGUGGCACCAGAUGGGCAGAUGGUGGCGGCCGGGAGUGAGGAUGACGGUGGGCAGAUGGAUGGAAAGAUAGGUGGCUGGCUUGUGCAGCUCUAGAGGUGCAGAUAAGGGAUCGAGCCGCAAAUGACAAUGUGGGCCCGAAGGAG
rnacentral:lncRNA from 1 species